CUCGCAGGCGGUUUCUUAAGUCUGAUGUGAAAGCCCCCGGCUCAACCGGGGAGGGUCAUUGGAAACUGGGGAACUUGAGUGCAGAAGAGGAGAGUGGAAUUCCACGUGUAGCGGUGAAAUGCGUAGAGAUGUGGAGGAACACCAGUGGCGAAGGCGACUCUCUGGUCUGUAACUGACGCUGAGGAGCGAAAGCGUGGGGAGCGAACAGGAUUAGAUACCCUGGUAGUCCACGCCGUAAACGAUGAGUGCUAAGUGUUAGGGGGUUUCCGCCCCUUAGUGCUGCAGCUAACGCAUUAAGCACUCCGCCUGGGGAGUACGGUCGCAAGACUGAAACUCAAAGGAAUUGACGGGGGCCCGCACAAGCGGUGGAGCAUGUGGUUUAAUUCGAAGCAACGCGAAGAACCUUACCAGGUCUUGACAUCCUCUGACAAUCCUAGAGAUAGGACGUCCCCUUCGGGGGCAGAGUGACAGGUGGUGCAUGGUUGUCGUCAGCUCGUGUCGUGAGAUGUUGGGUUAAGUCCCGCAACGAGCGCAACCCUUGAUCUUAGUUGCCAGCAUUCAGUUGGGCACUCUAAGGUGACUGCCGGUGACAAACCGGAGGAAGGUGGGGAUGACGUCAAAUCAUCAUGCCCCUUAUGACCUGGGCUACACACGUGCUACAAUGGACAGAACAAAGGGCAGCGAAACCGCGAGGUUAAGCCAAUCCCACAAAUCUGUUCUCAGUUCGGAUCGCAGUCUGCAACUCGACUGCGUGAAGCUGGAAUCGCUAGUAAUCGCGGAUCAGCAUGCCGCCGGUGAAUACGUUCCCGGGGCCUUGUACACACCGGCCCGUCACACCACGAAGAGUUUGUAACACCCCGAAGUCCGGUGAGGUAACCUUUUUAGGAGCCAGCCGCCGAAGGUGGGACAGAUGAUUGGGGGUGAAGUCUA
rnacentral:rRNA from 1 species